ensembl:lncRNA
AUCACCCCAUCCCGGGGCUUGGGCUCGCUGGGUGCCAGCCCCAGCAUCGCACGCUGGUUCCAAGUUUACUGAAGCAUGCUGCAGCCUUUGCUGCUGUGCCCAGUUUGCAGAUGGACUUUGUGCCAUCAAAAGGGAGAAGGUUUUUUGGUUUUUUGUUCUGUUUUGUUUUGUUUUGUUUUAGAAUAUGCCAUUUCAAAGUAAAUUGAUUUCUUCUACUGAAAAAGUUUUUAGGAUUAAAGAGCCCUCGCUGCAUACAGAAAAACAUUUCUCCUAUUCCAACUCUUUCUGUGCUCAAAUGCCUCUUUCCUAGGCGUGUCCUAAAACGCAGAGGUAUGUCGCAGUCAUUCUAAAAGUUGUUUGAAACGUUAAGGUGAGGCUGGGCUUCUGCUAAAGGGUGAGACCCCCAGGGCCAGGAUCGCUGCCCUCCAGCGGGAUGCUGCCCACCUGCGCUGGCCCAGAAGAAGCACCAGGAGCUCAAAAGCACGGCCACCCCUCUGGGGGCAUCCCCAGAGAACCCACAGCCACCCUUCCCGGGGCUGCAUCAUCUGCCCCUCUGCAGGUGACCACAGCGCCUUUGGGACCCCACGUCCUAAAGCUGGAGGUCUGAGCUCCAGGAGGAGAGGCAGUGCGAAGCCAUGAGAGCACUGGAGGUCUGUCAACAAAGUAUUAAUGUAGAAGCCCGAGUGAAAAGCAGAAAAGAAAAGAAAAAAAAAAAAAAGAAAGAAAGAAAAGAAAAAAGCAAUCAAUGAAUGCCAUUCCCCAGCUAAGAGACGAGCCACCAAUUCUUGGCACAGCGAUAGAGAAAACCUUGAAAAGUUUCGCUCGGGUUCUGGAAUAAAGCUUUGGAUAAAAUGGAGCAAGUAGUUUGCGCGGUCGUCGUGCCAGUGAAUAGAUCUGCUGCUCUGGAUUUCAAUUAACUUAGUUUGUUCAGCGGGGAGGCACUUCAGCUGCAACCGGGGAGCUGCAAGUUAAAGGACAGCGAGAAAAACAGCGCAACAACAGCCAGAAAAACCUGUUGGCAGCAGAAGUUUGCACCGGCUGCAAGCAAAAUCAAAUCACAUCAAAUCAGGGGGUUUUAAAGAAAUCUUUUAAAGGCUUUGAAGGUUUCGGAGGAUCUCCGAGGCAGUCCCAGGUGAUCGUCGCUGUGGAGAGACCUCCACCGAUCAGCGUCCAUUUUACAUAAUUACUUCGGGUUCUCCAGAACAUUUUAUGUAACUCACUUCCACGGCUGCCUCUGCCCUUUCUCCUCUCUCUCCGUCACCGGCAGAGCAGCAGCUCAGCCCUCCGCCAGCACUGACAGGAGCUCACAUAAAAGGACCAUUUCGAAUGGAUCACUGGGAGCAGCCCCGAGAACCCACAGGAAACGUGGGCUCCGAAACUCGACAGUGCUCAGCGGGCGACGAAACGCAUCACACAUCCCUCCCCAGCUAAAUAUGUGUAUGCAUAUAUAUAAACAUAUACAUAUAAUAAGGAUUAAUUCGGAGGAAAGCUCCGAGGUUUGAAACGACAAAUAAGCAGGGAUAUUUGCGCGAGGAAAAAAAAAAAAGGUAAAUAAAUAGUUACUGGUGCUGGACAAAAUGGCUCGAUAGGUUUCAUAAUUUGCCACCGCUGUAAAAAAUAUCCCCUCCCUUCCCCCUGCCGUCCCCGCCGGCACGGACGGAAGCGCGGAGCGGAGGGUGGGGGGCAGCCGAGGAUACCAACUCCCUCCGCCAAAGUUUGGGUCCUUCCGAACCCGGCGAUGCCUCCAUAACGUGACAUCAGCUCCGAGAGACAAAAGUUGAGAUCUGCGUCUCCUUUCUGCCCGGGAAAGGAAACUGGAAAAAUACUAAUAAUGAAAAAUAGACGUUAAAAAUACCCGAGAGGAAAAAGUCGACGGACGAUCACCCGAAUUAACCCCCUCCGCCCCCGCAGGCAAACAGACAAACGACAAAACCUCCGGCUAAAGCCCCGUCGGGAGGAGUGGAACCUGCUUUCUCCGCUUUCUCUUUUCUGCUUUUAUUUAACGUAUGGCGAGCCUGGACUUCAAACUUAUAGCCGACACACGGCCACACAACAAAGAGUCCCCGUUCACCCCCGUCGCCGGCGCUGCGGGCAGAAGUCGUCGGCAAAUACGCGCCGUGUUCCGCGAGCAGACAUAAAUCUCUCACGACGCUCUCCCAAACAGGCCAAGGGUAGUUCACAUAGAGGGCUGGCUUCGCACACGCUCACCCCGCUCCUCGUAUUCUUUGGAUGGAGGAAGGCUGGCAGCAAGGUGCACAGACAAAAGACCGGGGAGCCAACGCACGCAAUCACUCGCUGCUACAUCUUCACGUAUUUUUACAAUACGCUCUCCUAUCCACACCGCUUCCAAAAUAAUUUUCAGCCAGCCCUGCCUCUCGUCGCACGUAAACUUACGCCGUCACAGGAAUUCUGUUGACUCUCAUGAUGACAUAUGAAAGUGGCAAAACGAGGUUUUGCGCCCGGAUUUCGCCUUCAGACAAAGCUCCCCCAGCAACUUCAUCAGCAGGGAAUUAUAGUUUCACCCGGAGAAACUGGGUCCAAGGGAAAAAGAAAAUAAAAGUUAAGUGGUAUUGCCAUGGCUAUGCUAUGAAUCAUAGAUUCACAGAAUCACAGAGUCAUUGAAUCACAGAAGGGUUGGGUUGGAAGGGACCUGGAAGCCCAUCCGGCUCCAACCCUGUGCCGUGGGCAGGGCUGCCCCCCAGCAGCUCAGGCUGCUCAGGGCCCCAUCCAACCUGGCCUUGAGCACCUGUAGGGAUGUGGAAAAUCAGUGGACAAACAAACGAGGAUCCAAAUCUUUUGAUGUUGAAUGGAGAAUUUACCUCAAGUAACUCAGAGUCAACUAAAAGUUAAGCGUCCUGUCUGAAGCAGUCGCAUAGGCUCUCCGUGUUGUUGGUGGAGAGACAGGCACCUCCAAAAAGCCCUUCCGCCCAGCUCCCCGUGCCCCUAAAUGAGGAGGGAGCCUACAGAACACAAUGAGCUCAGAGCCCUAAGAACAUGCUGAUCUUCAAGAGCAAAUGGGAAACAGGGAAAGUCAAACUCUUCCCCAGACCUGAUACGGCUGCGCAAGUUUUUGUUGCACAUGACAAGAUUCUGGAUGACAGACUGGGAGGGAAGGAAUGUGCUUCAGUGCCAAAUAACAUGCUCUGUAGUGCCCUGUUCUCUCCUCUCCUUUUUAUGUUCCCAGGCUCACCAGCUUGGUGAGUUUAGACAAAUCUUGUAGGCAACCACAACUGGAAGAGGUGUCGUAUAACCACACCUGAAGCUAUGAUCUGCUUCAUUUGAAAGAAUUUGGCCUUUCAGGAGCUUCAUAAAUGCUGGUUUUCAAGUUCUACGGAGAUUUAAGCAAGACUGACUCAAUGAACCAGUUAGGUAUCCUGCUCAUCCUUGUGAUGGGUUAACACACUAUUUUUGACGUACUCCGCAUAUCUACCCUGUCACAGUUUCAUCACCACCUUCAGGGACUCUGCUUUACUCGAAUACCAAGAACUGUUCUUAUAAACCAGCUUGUUGCUUCCAGCUGAUCCAGAAAGAGUAGAUCAGAAUCACAGUUCGAGGUUCUUAUUGAUCUUGUAGAAAUUAUAGACAUUACAGAUAGGUUGUUUGACUGAUCCCAAGUGAAAACAUCUAAUCCAUAUAUUGCAACAACCUAAAUGGUUCUGAGGCUUAAUGUAAGGAUACCAUACUGGUGUUAAAAAUUCCAGGCAAAUUUCUGUUGCAGCUCUUUGCCAGAUAGUAUGGGCAAGACCUUGAAACAUUCAUACCAACAUAUCUGAACUUGAUUGCCUCCAUGUAGGCCCCUUCAGAACACGUUCAGAUCCUCCAGACUCCCCUGCUAUACACACUAUCACGUUGUCAGUCCAACAGGAAUGGUGAUUUAGUUUUCUCUAUUCAUGUUCUGCGGUGUCUGUACAACUUUGUUCAAAUGUAACGAGAAAGACGCCAAUUAAAAAAGCACAAGAGCCCUGCAGCUUGGCAGGCUGAUUCAAAUUAGGUACCUGUAUGAAGUGAUUAAAAUAGGUUUUCUAAAUCUGAAGAUAACAGGAGGACAGCGUGUUUGAUUUACAUCAGCAGGGGUCAACAAAAAUGUAGAAGAACCAUGCGGAUGCUCUUUACCCCUGCACAUUUACUGGUGAGGAUGCUGAAGACAGAAGGAGAGGAAUACUGCGCUCUCCUGGAGUUUUUCAAUACUCAAAGAAUCUCAACUGUUUCCCCAGCUCAGCAGUCAUUCCUUACUGCCAGAACUCCAAAUAAGCAAUAUUUUCCUUUAAUUCAGCAGCUUUGAUCCAUGAUUCCACAGUCCUUUUGCACAUACCUAUUAACAAAUCAAAUCUCACAAUUCCCUUUGGUAAAAAGCUACCGCUAUUCUCAUUUUACGGACAGUAAAAACUAAAUUGAAAGAGUUAACCAUUCUGCUGAAAACAAAAGUGAGACUGGGAUGUCAGACUUUCCUGGUCAGUUCAAGCUAUGUUGCCUUUAUAGAUCAGGCUCUCAGACAGCCCAAUUGAUUGGCAUAGCUGGGGCACAUUUGCUGAACAAGAACCGGCUUUUCUAUUGUUUUUGUUUGUUUUGUUUUGUUUUGUUUGUAAUCCAG